GACGAACGCUGGCGGCGUGCUUAACACAUGCAAGUCGAACGGAAAGGCCCAGCUUUUGUGGGGUGCUCGAGUGGCGAACGGGUGAGUAACACGUGAGUAACCUGCCCUUGACUUUGGGAUAACUUCAGGAAACUGGGGCUAAUACCGGAUAGGAGCUCCUGCUGCAUGGUGGGGGUUGGAAAGUUUCGGCGGUUGGGGAUGGACUCGCGGCUUAUCAGCUUGUUGGUGGGGUAGUGGCUUACCAAGGCUUUGACGGGUAGCCGGCCUGAGAGGGUGACCGGCCACAUUGGGACUGAGAUACGACCCAGACUCCUACGGGAGGCAGCAGUGGGGAAUAUUGCACAAUGGGCGGAAGCCUGAUGCAGCAACGCCGCGUGCGGGAUGACGGCCUUCGGGUUGUAAACCGCUUUCGCCUGUGACGAAGCGUGAGUGACGGUAAUGGGUAAAGAAGCACCGGCUAACUACGUG
rnacentral:rRNA from 1 species